GAGGACGUAGGUCUGCAGUAGAGCGUGUGCCUAGCACGCACGAGGUCCUGGGUUCAAUCCCCAGCACCUCCA
rnacentral:tRNA from 1 species